rnacentral:rRNA from 1 species
UGGGGAAUAUUGGACAAUGGGGGCAACCCUGAUCCAGCAAUGCCGCGUGUGUGAAGAAGGUCUUCGGAUUGUAAAGCACUUUCGACGGGGACGAUGAUGACGGUACCCGUAGAAGAAGCCCCGGCUAACUUCGUGCCAGCAGCCGCGGUAAUACGAAGGGGGCUAGCGUUGCUCGGAAUGACUGGGCGUAAAGGGCGUGUAGGCGGUUUACACAGUCAGAUGUGAAAUCCCCGGGCUUAACCUGGGAGCUGCAUUUGAUACGUGUAGACUAGAGUGUGAGAGAGGGUUGUGGAAUUCCCAGUGUAGAGGUGAAAUUCGUAGAUAUUGGGAAGAACACCGGUGGCGAAGGCGGCAACCUGGCUCAUGACUGACGCUGAGGCGCGAAAGCGUGGGGAGCAAACAGGAUUAGAUACCCUGGUAGUCCACGCUGUAAACGAUGUGUGCUAGAUGUUGGGUAACUUUGUUAUUCUAGUGU